GUGCUAUGUAGCCCCCUAUGAAGAUAAAAAAACUUCCGAUAGGUCUGGAGCUACUGCUCUCAGUUGCAGGAGGCCAUCUCUUGAACAUAACCUUUUUGGUUUGCUCAGUCUGGAGCUAUUUUGUUUCAGCUGUGUUGUGUGAUUAAAAUUGGGUCUCGGAGGUAU
rfam:Zea mays cultivar B73 chromosome 6, whole genome shotgun sequence.